rnacentral:rRNA from 1 species
GAUGAACGCUGGCGGCGUGCCUAAUACAUGCAAGUCGAGCGAACGGACUAGAAGCUUGCUUCUCUGAUGCUAGCGGCGGACGGGUGAGUAACACGUGGAUAACCUACCUAUAAGACUGGGAUAACUUCGGGAAACCGUAGCUAAUACCGGAUAAUAUUUUGAACCGCAUGGUUCAAAAGUGAAAGACGGUCUUGCUGUCACUUAUAGAUGGAUCCGCGCUGCAUUAGCUAGUUGGUAAGGUAACGGCUUACCAAGGCAACGAUGCAUAGCCGACCUGAGAGGGUGAUCGGCCACACUGGAACUGAGACACGGUCCAGACUCCUACGGGAGGCAGCAGUAGGGAAUCUUCCGCAAUGGGCGAAAGCCUGACGGAGCAACGCCGCGUGAGUGAUGAAGGUCUUCGGAUCGUAAAACUCUGUUAUUAGGGAAGAACAUAUGUGUAAGUAACUGUGCACAUCUUGACGGUACCUAAUCAGAAAGCCACGGCUAACUACGUG